AUGCUCGUUCAAUGCAAUCCACCUGGACAGGCUCCUUACUGAGAUCCUCCACUGCAGAUUUAACAUGAACCUCAACAAUUCUAUUAGUCCACUCCUCAAUAGCCCCUGCCAACCCAAUAUUGGGCUUCACCUCCAAGGACUUCAAAACCUGCCCAGUGACUGGACAAGUUGGCUGUCGACCGUCCUCUAUGCAGCGGUGGAACCAAUAGUUGAUGGCUUUCCUCUCGUAAGUCUGAGAAGACUCCAAAACCACAGGCUCCUUCAUAACUUCCUUAGUCAAAGGACAAAGAAAAUUCUUAAGCGGAGAAAUGUGC
rnacentral:misc_RNA from 1 species